UUUUUUAUCCGGUCUUUACCCGCUUGCUUAUACCGUUGAAAACCACGGUACAAUUUAGUCAGGCUGAAAUCCCUCGCUCUCUCCUUCCUCUCCAGACGCACUCUCGGUCUCCAGACGUUCUCUCUUCCUCUCCAGACGCACUCUUGCUCUCUCGUCUGAAUCCCAGAUCCGCCCUCCCUCUGUUCUUGGAAAAUAUUAUUCUUCUUCCCAGAUAUAGCUCCUCGCGAGCAUGUCAGCCUCAGACGUUUGGAUUGCUGUGGCCCGAUCUCAACGACAGAUUGUUCUACAACGACGUCGUUCGAGCCUCCAAUUCCGAACUGACACUGAUCGAGUUCUACUCUAGCAAGUACAAUAAUUCAGCUCCAUUGCAAGGGUAAUCAGCUUAUACCAAAUUGCAUUCCAACAAUUUAAAUUAAUUUGAUUUAUUUACUGAUUUAUUUUUGCACUUUAAGCAAUAAAAAAAUGUUUAAUUUGAAGAACAGAUGAAAACUUUGUACUGAUAAUUGAGCAGUUUCUUCGUGAA